rnacentral:lncRNA from 1 species
GUGUUGUGCCAGUUGCGGGUAGCAACUUACAUGUCUAGUACACGAAGCUAUCAUCCAGUUUGCCGAUAUCCAGGAAAUUGUUUGCUGAUGUAAGACUAAAAAUUUAUUCGGCUAAAUAACAUUGUGUAGCACAUGCAGACAUUCUGAACAGCACGGUAACCUCCGUGAGCACUCCUUGUAAAUUAACCAAAAUUUUUCAGAUGACUUAGGCAACCAGAAUCAGGGAUACUUAUUGUGAGGCCUGUUUGUUCAAGAAAUUGAAAUGCCAUUACUGGUUGAAACAAAGCAGGAAUUCCAUCUGGAUUAGAUUUACAUUGUCCAGCUACGGAAAUUUCACAUUGGACAAAGGGAAAUUACAGUAAAAAGGCUGAAACUAAUAAAAAGUGCUGUAUUGGUUUCUAAGUGCAUUCACGCCAAUGUAUAGUUCCUGUCGGUAUAAAGCUAACAGAAAAUGACACUGAGAACUGAAAGGAAAAUGAUUGAGGAUUUUGAACAGUGUUUAACAUUAAAAUUUUUAUUUCAAACUGAAUAGCGCGACACUUGUUUUGUUACCCAGGCUCCGUUGUAAAUCCUAUAAGUAAAACUCGAGCCAUUUGCUAUUUCACGGUUGAGGGAAGUCGGAAACUUCCCCCUAGGCCAUGCCCGGGCUCCUUUUUGGUCCGUAGACCGAGUCGGAAGAACAGAGAGAGGCAGCUAUUCCUACAGCCGGCGUCUGGACGAGUUGGCCAGGAUCAUUGGAUCAUUGAAACUGCAUGAGAGCGGUCUGUCAGUUUAUCUUAUAAAGCAGACAGCCCGUUCUCACCCAGAACCCGCUGAUGACCUGACGGGGAGCGGUCCGCUCCUUACUUAAUGGAAAAGCUGUUUUCAAAUUCCAAUAAUGUUUGGCAUGAUGGAAAUCUUUUACUGGGAAUUCUUCAUCAUCUGCCUGAAGGUAUGAUCUGUUAAUGGCACAACCUAUGGCGUGUUAAAUAGUGUUAUUCUAGAUUAUUCUGUCUUGACAUGUUCCUUGAAGAUUCCUAGAAAAAUGGAUGGAUUUCCUUUUCCUAAUAAUACCCAUCAGUUGCAAUUAGUUUUGUAUAGACAAAAAUAACCGGCCAUGUUUAGCUAAGUGCAGCGGAUUGAGGUGAAUAUCCGAAAAACCGGCCACUGUUUUGUUCAGCCUCUGGCUAGUAACUUUUAGUCUCUUCAUUACUAAUCCAUAGUUGUCUUCUACAAUAGCAAAUUCUCUAGUGAAAUUACUAACAUGAAUUCGGCAGUUGUCAACGCCGAUUUCGGAGGGGAAAAGAGAUUGGAGACGAGAAAAGACGUAUAUCUACAUAGUUUGAAAUUUUCAAAGGCCAUAUUGAUGGUAAAAUACUGAUCACCAUGGAGGCUUUGGUGUUGUUGCCCCAGUAACUAACCUGUGACCAACUCUGUUGAAAAUGGAUACGUCUUAAAUCGCUAAAUAAGCCGAAGUAGAACGCAGUCAAUGAUAGUUUAUUUUAUGGCGGAGUUGCAAAAGCCAUUGCGGACCGCAGUUUUUUGUUCGAUGCAGUACAAUAUCGUCAGCAGCAGUCAACAGACAUCAAAUUCAUAAUCCGUUAAGUUACUUGUUCUUGCUAAUCACUUAUGGCAUUACCUUGCUCAGUUGACUUUGGAUUGUAUCAAUCGUCCCACCAGCAAGCUCGUAAGACAAAUAACUCUGAAGACGAACAACAAAGGAGAAAAGAAUCGAAUGCAGUCGACUAUGAAAACAUCCUGGAAAAUUUUAACAAAACAAAGAACUUGCAGUUGAGAACAUUUAUCUGGCUCUGUUUACCGGCUUCCUUCCCGGGAAUUGUCGUUGUAGAAGGAACGCCCAUUAUAGAUGCUUCGUGGAAGUUGGUGACGAAAAUGUCACAUCCCUUUCGACUAAUGGCUCAUCGUUUACUCCUUCAUGGCUGAACCAAAUGAUUCCUUUUGCAUAGAGAAAACGAAAUAGCCCAAUGUUAUCUGCAUAACAUUUUGUUGGCAAAUUUCAAACAGUGUGAUCUCAACCAGUCUAUCCAUGACACGUUCCGGAAAAAGUGCACCCGUUGGGUUUAUGAUACUUGUGUAUUCCGUUCAACAAUCGUCAGUGAUUUCGACUUAACUUGUGAAAAUGAAUGGAAGCAAACUGUUGCCAGAAUGUUGAACGGAGCACUUAGGAUUGGUUACAUCGGGGUUACUAUCGUGAGAAGGAAAACAUUUACGCUGAACGUAUUUCCACUUGGGAUCUUAACGACGGCUUCCGCAUUUUCACCUGAUUGGAUCACAUUCUGCUAAUUGAGUUUUUUCUCAGGAAUUGGUGCUUCUGGCCACUUCCUAAUUAUCUUUGUCUAUGGAUUGCUGGAGUGAUGAGAUAUUAUGGUUGAACUUAUUCGGCUGCAAAUCUAGUGGGAAACUUUUAGCCACUCUACUUGUAUACCUCGUAACUGUUUCCCACUUUCGGCAGAAGUGCAAUGGUCGGGUUAUGCUCCAUCUGCGGCCGAAUAAGAGGGAUAUUAGCCCCAAACAUCUCUGACUGGGUGACAUUUUUAUGUUUGGUUACGUUUUAAUAGUAAACUUUAACGUGUCUGUUUGAAAUUUAUAGGGCAAGAAAACUGAUGUCCUUGGUUUUUUCCACCAUAAACAUAUUAGUUGAGUUCCUAUGUUUCCUACUUCCGGAGACAAAAGGAGUUCCUUCCCAGCUUCAAUAAAGGAAGCUAUCGAAAUGAAACCGGAAUUCCUAGCGAAUGGUUUUUAAGCAAAAUCGCGAAAGGUCGAGCAUUAGCAAAGGCGUUAAUAAGGUUGGAUUUUGCAAUUUUGUACUUACCAAAACCAGAAUUUGUGAUACCUGAUAUGUACAUUUUCACAUUUUCGUUUCUACCCUUAGGUUACCCUUCGUUUACUACAGACGGUAGAGCCAAAUUAAUUAGAAAUAUAGUAAGAAACGAGUUUAAUGGGAAUGGUAAAAAAAAAAAAAAAAAUGGAGAACUUGAAGUUUAGAUUGGCUAGUCACCAACCAGGAAUUGAAUGCUUGUAGAAACUAACAGUGUAGGAUGCUUUAUAGACUUGUUACUAACAUUUAAUAUAGCUAAUAGUGAUUGUUAUGCUAGCAAGAUUUGAAGUCCGUGUGUUAUACUAAUGAUUGUAGGAAGUGAUUUAAAACUGAGUUAUUUGCAUAUUGAACACAAUUUAUGAAGAAAAUAGUCGAAGUAGGCGUCUGGUAGAUGUAUUUGUGACUUCUUGAAAACCUAAUUUCAUGACAGCUCUUUUGCGCUUUUUGUGAGGUGACGAGCUAGAUUGUCGCGGUGACGUAUAAUUCAAUUCCCUCGAGGACACAGAAGGCUUCCGCGAUUUGUAGGUGUAGUUAGCUAGGAAUAGUGCUAGCAGGUGCUAUUAAUGAGCGUAAGCUACUCUUUCAACUCAUCUCCCACUUGACGAAAACACAUAAUAGUUCAUUGACAUUGAACUUCCAUCACAUGGAAGAAUCCUUGAAUGAAUUUUACUUUAUUCCAUGUUAGUUAAUACAAGAUAUUUGUGAACGGCAAAGAUUGCACUUGGAAUGGGACGUUUCGAAAGAUUUUAAACUACUUCUCAGAGAAUGUCGG